CGCCCUAGGAGGGAAGCGAACCAGCACCUCCCGCUUUGCAAGCGCUUGUGCUACCGAUUACACCACCGAGGC